GACAUAGGUGGCGGACGUUAUCCGGAAUUAUUGGGCGUAAAGGGCUCGUAGGCGGUUUGUCGCGUCGGCUGUGAAAUCCCGAGGCUCAACCUCGGGUCUGCAGUCGAUACGAGCAAACUAGAGUGUUGCAGGGGAGACUGGAAUUCCUGGUGUAGCGGUGAAAUGCGCAGAUAUCAGGAGGAACACCGGUGGCGAAGGCGAGUCUCUGGGCGACAACUGACGCUGAGGAGCGAAAGCGUGGGGAGCGAACAGG
rnacentral:rRNA from 1 species